rnacentral:rRNA from 1 species
GACGAGCCUCACAAACGUUAUUCGGAAUUACUGGGCUUAAAGGGUGCGUAGGCUGCGCGGAAAGUUGGGUGUGAAAUCCCUCGGCUCAACCGAGGAACUGCGCCCAAAACUACCGUGCUCGAGGAAGAUAGAGGUGAGCGGAACUUACGGUGGAGCGGUGAAAUGCGUUGAUAUCGUAAGGAACACCCGUGGCGAAAGCGGCUCACUGGGUCUUUUCUGACGCUGAUGCACGAAAGCUAGGGGAGCAAACGGG